rnacentral:rRNA from 1 species
GUAGGGAAUAUUGGGCAAUGGGGGAAACCCUGACCCAGCAACGCCGCGUGAGGGAAGAAGGCCUAACGGUUGUAAACCUCUGUCAUAUGGGAAGAAGGAAUGACAGUACCAUAUGAGGAAGCUCCGGCUAACUACGUGCCAGCAGUCGCGGUAAUACGUAGGGAGCAAGUGUUGUCCGGAAUUACUGGGCGUAAAGCGUGCGCAGGCGGUGCUGUAAGACAGGCGUGAAAUCCCCGGGCUCAACCUGGGAAUUGCGCUUGUGACUGCAGCGCUGGAGUGCGGCAGAGGGGGAUGGAAUUCCCAGUGUAGAGGUGAAAUUCGUAGAGAUUGGGAAGAACACCAGUGGCGAAGGCGGCUCACUGGACCGACAUUGACGCUGAGGCGCGAAAGCGUGGGGAGCAAACAGGAUUAGAUACCCGGGUAGUCC